GUACUGCCGAGGAGUUCCAUACUAGGACGAAACGACCGUCCAGUGC
rnacentral:hammerhead_ribozyme from 1 species